GUGGGGAAUCUUGCGCAAUGGGCGAAAGCCUGACGCAGCCAUGCCGCGUGAAUGAUGAAGGUCUUAGGAUUGUAAAAUUCUUUCACCGGGGACGAUAAUGACGGUACCCGGAGAAGAAGCUCCGGCUAACUUCGUGCCAGCAGCCGCGGUAAUACGAAGGGGGCUAGCGUUGCUCGGAAUUACUGGGCGUAAAGGGCGCGUAGGCGGACAGCUUAGUCAGAGGUGAAAGCCCAGGGCUCAACCUUGGAAUUGCCUUUGAUACUGUCUGUCUUGAGUUUGGGAGAGGUGAGUGGAACUCCGAGUGUAGAGGUGAAAUUCGUAGAUAUUCGGAAGAACACCAGUGGCGAAGGCGACUCACUGGCCCAAUACUGACGCUGAGGCGCGAAAGCGUGGGGAGCAAACAGGAUUAGAUACCCCGGUAGUCC
rnacentral:rRNA from 1 species